AUUUGGGAGCUACCUAGUGGGUCAGUACAGCAUGUUUCCAAGGGCUAUGGCUUGUUGUGGCCAUGGGAUCUCCAACUGCAUGCAAGAGCAACUUGGAGAGACUUUGACAGCGCAGGUCAGCAUAAUACCUGCAGCUGCCACUCGCCUUUCCUAUAGUAUCCCAGGACCUGGGCUGGAAGCCUUCCACCUGAGUCCAUGUGUUUCCAUCAAAAAAGUCAACUUCCGUAUAUGGAUCAACUUUUUGGUUUAGAGCUUGCACACUUUUUUUCUGCAGGUUGCCCCAGGUUUUACUGGCAGUGCCUGAUACUGAGGUAUCUGAAAAUACCAGCUUGUUGCUGGAGCCGUGCUUUAGAAUAAGAUCUGUUACCAGUAAAGCUGUCGUCUUCUGUGAUUGGGAUCUACAGAGUUGGGAGAGAAACACUACAGGAAGACGCAAAUGAAGAGACAAGGGGCUCUUUUAGGUGGAAACACCUUUUUUUCUUUCUGAUGCUGGUACCUGGCAUACAAGUGACCAAUAAAAGAUUCCUAGGGCUUCCCUGGUGGCACAGU